rnacentral:rRNA from 1 species
CCUACGGGGAGCAGCAGUGAGGAAUAUUGGUCAAUGGACGAGAGUCUGAACCAGCCAAGUAGCGUGAAGGAUGACUGCCCUAUGGGUUGUAAACUUCUUUUAUAUGGGAAUAACAUGUUCCACGUGUGGGAUUUUGUAUGUACCAUAUGAAUAAGGAUCGGCUAACUCCGUGCCAGCAGCCGCGGUAAUACGGAGGAUCCGAGCGUUAUCCGGAUUUAUUGGGUUUAAAGGGAGCGUAGGUGGAUUGUUAAGUCAGUUGUGAAAGUUUGCGGCUCAACCGUAAAAUUGCAGUUGAAACUGGCAGUCUUGAGUACAGUAGAGGUGGGCGGAAUUCGUGGUGUAGCGGUGAAAUGCUUAGAUAUCACGAAGAACUCCGAUUGCGAAGGCAGUUCACUGGACUGCAACUGACACUGAGGCUCGAAAGUGUGGGUAUCAAACAGGAUUAGAUACCCUAGUAGUC